CAAGCGCAGCCAACCUAGGCGAAAUAACCCAAGGGGAUCGAGGCAACACAUUUAAAUUUAGCACCUGGAAUUAUGCUUGAUCACGCGGCUAACUUUUCAGGAUCACGCUUCAUGCCACAAUUUUCUUUUUCUAUUCGUUAUUUUUUCUUCUCCCUUUUUUUUCUCAACGCAACGUAACGAUACCGCGACCAUACGCGUGAGAUAUAUUCUCGUUUAACGAAAGGUUUUUCACGAUCUCGACGACCGGAAGGAGAUGUGACCGUCGCUGGUUAGACGGGAUACCGCGCACUGACUCGAUCCCGCAUGUCCGACAUAAACACAAGAUUUACUACUGGCGCAUACGCCGUCCGAACGGAGUUUCGGUAUCACUUCGAUCGGUUUUUUGGCGCACGUCCAAUUAGAAUGAUACAACGAGCAUAGAUCUCCGAGAAAUUAAAACAGAUUCGAACUUAUAGAUGAUAGACAAAUUUUAUUCAUAUUUAUCAUGAAUAUAAAAGAAGUGGCAUCAUUAAAUUAAAAAAAAAAAUGUUUAUUUUUAAUUAUUUGAAAAUUGUUCAGAGAACUCACCGAUACCCUUUCUUUCUUAUAAUAUAUUUCAAUUUUUGUUUAACAAUUUAUUUUCCGUACAUUUACAUUCCAAUUAUAGCCGUUUUUUCUCAAAGAAAGUUUUUCUUUUCUUAUUUCUUAAACUCAGUUACAAUAUAAAUACAUGCAUUCUAUUCUGAACGCAUGGUAUAAUAGCUUAAUGCGAAUAAUAUGCAUGCUCACUUUGAAUAUUCAUUGUUCUAAUUAUUGGUAUCACUACUGUAUAUUUAAUUGAAAAUAUUAUAUCUGACUUCAUAGGUAUUGCCAACACCUUAAUUACUCUGUAUAAAAGUUUGCAUUUAUUCUUGGAUCAUGUUAUCUUGCAAACAGUAAACGUUUCUAUUAUUAAAAAAAUUUCUGCUGGAUGCAAUUCAUGUUUACAUAAUUCUAAAGUUAGAAGUGAAUAUACACCGCGUCGAUAACAAAAUUCUCUUAACUUUUAAUGUGUCUUCCGUAAAAAACUUAAAGGGAAAGUAUCAAAUUUCAUCUGUUCCUCUAAAAUACUGUACAAAAUACGAAUUUUUGAAUGCAUACAAAUCACUCCAUUACACCAAAGUGAACACCGUACCGAUUACCAUCUCUAUAAAUUAUUGUUUCUACCCAUUACCUAAUUCUCUGCGUCCAUUGUGGCUGCGUUUCCGUUUCAAUUGAAAUUUAUGAUACACACAUAUAUGUAUAUAUAUAUUCACAUGCACACCCAUACGUACACUUUUCAGAAUGAUACACGUAAACCUCGUAGAACAUGUUCGCGAUACAACAACGUAAUUUUACAACCGCAGUCUUAUAACUUGAUCAAGGAAUAGAAUCACGAUUAGUCUGUAAUCUGAAAAGCGUCAUGUGUCCUUUGUUCCGGCUCUUAUCGUAUUGAUAUGGAUACAAACAAUCGUGUUAAAUGCAUUGGAAUCAUUAACUGCGAACCGCCUUCGUGUAUUCCCAUAAUAAAGGAACGUUAUCUUUGAUUUUUAGCGGAGUAAUCGUCUUGGAUCGUUCAAUUAAAGGCUAACGAUGGUCCAAGUUUUUAAACUCUAAUACACACGUACGAUUAUAAGAAAUAUCUGCUUCUAAUUAUGUUCGAAUUCUAAUACGAAUACGAAUCUAGAUUUACGAAUUAUUUAGAAACCUGUUUAAAUAGUGUGAUCACUCGAAUACUACGACGUGUUCCUAUCAAAAUCGCUCCUUGUUCAUAUAUCAUAACAUUUU